ACAUGUAUUGGGGUAUUUAAAUAACCUUUAUUUUGAUUGAGAAAAUUUUCAGCACAAAAUACGCGCAUUGGAGUUAAUAUAAUUAUGAAACCAACAUUUUAAGAACCCAUGAGGAAUUAAUUUUCAGCUAUGCUUUGUUAAAUGACAGAUGAUAAAAAAAACGGAUUUAAACGGAUUUAAACGGAUUUAAAUAAUAUGCUAGUUUAUUAAUAGUGUUCCGACAACGGACUAAACGUCGAAUGAUAUUUUACAAAUGAUGAGGAGUGAACGUGUAUAACAUGGCCUAAUACGUGCACUCGUAUCAUACUGGUACUCUGUACCUUCGGUUAUCUGAGGCACUUUCUUGUGGGAUGUGAUCCUGAGUGGUUGUCCGGCAGUUACCAGAAUCGAAGGUAGAUGGCUAGGUAAAGCAUAUAGACCGAAGUAUUUGAAGCAUUUAAAAUUACAGUAAUUUAAACAUAAUAUUAGAUGUAAAAAUGUGUAUAGUACGGGCUAAACAUUUAUAUGGACUGCACACUUGUGACGUUUAUAUGAAUAAGGAGCUUCUAAAAUAACUGUAUGUUAUACAUAAUUUAAGUUAUAAAAAUAAUGUAUGAUAAUGGGGCAUAUGUUUGAUUAAAUAUAUUCCACUAUUUUCUGUAGUCAUUUGAUACACAUUUAUGAUAUAAUGUGGUUAUGUUCUAGUUAUAAUAAAUACUCCAAUGGCCGACAAAAUAUUCUGAUUAUCUGUAAGAUUAAUUCUGUAUCUGGAAUUGGAACAAAAGAUGAACGCUGUGUUCAGCAAUUUGCACUGUUUGAGAGGUAAUCAUUUUAUAUAACUGAGUUUGUUAAACAUGUUUAAAAUGUUUUUUAUUGACAGGCAGAUAUAUAUCGCGUAAUACUUGAGACACGACACCGGAAUACGACAAGCUGAUGAUCAUUUAAACCUGUAUCACUGCUCAAGUACAGAGAAUCAUCAUCAGCUUCUUGUAUGAUAUUGGACACAGUAAGAACCGAUGAUUAUCAGAUUAGGAAAUUAUGAAGGUAUUUUAAGACACAGCAUUCGAAUACGAUCAACUGAGGAUCAGUGCAACCGUCAUCACUGCUCAUGUAGAAAAUCAUCUUUAGCUUGAGGAAAUGGAUAUAGUGAGAAACGACAAUUAUCAGGGAGGUGGUUUGUAGUGUAGCCAUUUUGCACAAUUUAUCUGCAAACUGUAUUAGCACAACCACUUACCCAUUUAAUACUUGCCGAAACAUUUUAUUUUUGCUCGAUACUGCUUGCUUCCCAGCAAUAUCGGCUUCUUGUAGGGUGUCAUGUUCCUUAAAAUAUCCAUAAUUCUACGCCUGUUUCCACAGAAUAUACAAUACUUCAACGUUCUAUUUCACUAAGUUUAUAUAUUUGAUUGGGAGAUAAGUGUGUUUCUCGAUAGCAUUUGCAGUAACAACUUUCUAUUUAAGAUAGAAACGACAGUCAACACUGAAUUCCUGUUCGGAAGGGCCCAAUGGCGCUUUCUGGCAGCAUGUGGUCCAGGGUUGUCCGGCUUGCACCUGAAGGGAAGAUGAGGCGGUAUGCCGAAUAAACUACCUCGGACUUUGACAAGCCUGGAUUCUGCUUUCGCUGACUGGUGUUUAACUGAUGAUUUACAUUUUGAGAAAUGCAGGACCGAGUUUCUUCUUAAAGGUUAUAAAUGCGGAACAUGGAUAUGGUGACCAAAUGAAUAAAGAAAGGUGUAGCUGAAUGAUGUCAAGUUGUGGUCUACUUAGCCAUCUAUCAGCAUUGUUGGUAAAUGCCAGACCAUCCAGAACACCACACUUCCAGGAAGUGCUUAAUGUGACCUCAGUGUUAGGGAUUCAGUAAAGAGGAAUAUUACUUUUCCACUAAAUUCGUGAUCUGGAGGUCACAUGUGAUUAUUCCUAGCAGGAUAUGGCCUUUUUUGUCCGAUGAAUAUCCAGAAUCACAGGAAGGACAAUACGCCCCGAUAUUCAACACUGAAUCACUGAUCUGGAGGUCACAUGGGAAAUUCCUGUAAUGAUGUUGUUCUUGGUUGUCAGAUAUGUUAAUAUGUGCACACUGCAAUACUGAUCUGGAGGUUACAAAAAACUUUAGCUGGAAGGAUUUCAUUAUGUUGUGUCCAGCAUUUAUUAUAAUAACAGUUAUUCGUUUUGAUCAAAGGAUUGCUUCUAACAACUGGCUCUGUAUUAUGAAAUAUUUCAAAAUUACAAUAUUCUAUACAUGUGUUAAACACACAUGUGAGCGUAGAUUAUUGAACUAUGUAAACAGAAAUAUUGAACAUAUUCUUGGAUUAUCAUGUAUUAUGAACGAGAAUGACCAAACAAACCUAAUGAAUCAUAGCAAAUUUGUCAUGACAAUAUAUAAAACACUGUAAAUCUUACCUGGCUUGCACUUAAUAUUAUUGAACUGUUAAUUAAUAUCUGAAUAUGUAUCUUGUUUGAAUUAAUUAGAUAUAUUUAGAACGCUUAUAGCCUGGUUGAACGCCCUAUAUUUAUACUUUAGUACACAUGUACCUUGCAUUACAUGUAUUUAUAUCUUUUCUCAUACUGUAUGUUUUGAGUGAACAAUAAAACUGU